GAGUUUGAUCAUGGCUCAGAACGAACGCUGGCGGCGUGCUUAACACAUGCAAGUCGCACGAGAAAACCCUUCGGGGUGAGUAAAGUGGCGCACGGGUGAGUAACACGUGGGUAAUCUGCCCUCGGAUUUGGGACAACGGGGAGAAAUCCCCGCUAAUACCGGAUAAGACCACGGGCCCCUCGGGGCCUGAGGUCAAAGGAGGCCUCUCCAUGGAAGCUUCCGUCAGAGGAUGAGCCCGCGGGCCAUUAGCUUGUUGGUGGGGUAACGGCCCACCAAGGCUACGAUGGCUAGCUGGUCUGAGAGGAUGACCAGCCACACUGGAACUGAAACACGGUCCAGACUCCUACGGGAGGCAGCAGUGGGGAAUAUUGCGCAAUGGGGGAAACCCUGACGCAGCGACGCCGCGUGAGCGAAGAAGGCCCUCGGGUCGUAAAGCUCUGUCAGGAGGGAAGAAUGUGUUCGUGGUCAAUACCCACGGGCAUUGACGGUACCUCCGAAGGAAGCACCGGCUAACUCCGUGCCAGCAGCCGCGGUAAUACGGAGGGUGCAAGCGUUGUUCGGAAUUACUGGGCGUAAAGAGCGUGUAGGCGGUCCGUUAAGUCCGGUGUGAAAGCCCUGGGCUCAACCCAGGAAGUGCAUUGGAUACUGGCGGACUUGAGUACGGGAGAGGAGAGUGGAAUUCCUAGUGUA
rnacentral:rRNA from 1 species